CCAGUCGGCUUUCGGACUUGAGCCGGUGCGUAUGGUGUUUUGUUUACCGCGGAUUACGAUCCGUCGUAUCUACGUGUACGUAGUCUACGUAACCUCGUGUACGUCAAAUAUCGUUUUUCCAUCGUACUUGUAACAUAUCGGUGAAGUGAAAGUGAAACGAGAUAUAUCGACUGGAAGCUUUUUGAAAAGCAAAAUCAUAUUCGUAUUACACGCUUACGACCUCUACGCUGUAUAGUAGUUACACUAUCAGUUGUUGGUUCGCGCGAUCGACUGCGUGGUGUAAAACGUCAAGAGGUCUGCGUGUUACAUGAUUGCGGGGCCGCGUAUCGAACGUGACACGCGAAAAGACACGCUGCGCCAAGUACAACGUUCCUUUUUACGUCGUACGAUACAUUGGCCAGACAGGCAGCAGUCGCCUCGUGAAACCAUAUGCUCUUGUGGUGCUAGGUACCCGGGUACUGCACCUAGUGGAAACUUCCAUGUAUCGAUGAAGGGGAACACUGUGACGUGCCUUGGAAGCGCAGUAAAUAUUUAAAAAUAAAUACCAACGCGAAGCCCCGUGUGCCCUGUAUACACGGGCGAGGCUCGCGAGUGUCACGGUGUGUGAGUGUGUGUAGUGUGUCUAUCGAAAACAUUGGAGCAGCGGAACACGUGGCAGCAGUGGUCACGGCUAAUCAAUUUAUCCACUUUUCCACACGGUGUCUCUUCCCGAGUCAACGUUACGUUCGAGCAGAUCGCGCAGAUAUUCGCGAAGGUGGCCAAGGCCGAGGCCUGCUCUCCGUACAAGGUAUACCUACUCACAAUAGAAUCAUAGCAACGACUGAACCUCUUGGGGAGCAUAGGAUUCAGUCUUCGACAGACAGCAGACCGAGCAGGUUGUUCGAGCGGUCUCUCCUCGCAUCUAGGAAUCGUUGGAACUUUGCUUCCAAGUUCAUUUAGAAGGCAUUCGAGCUUGUACGUUCGUUCGAGGAGAGAAGAAGGAUAAAGAUUCGAACUUUCGUUCGAUCAGCGACGCAUAGUAUUACGCUGAAUCUACGAUUCAGUGGCAAGAAGAAUCUGGACAAGAAGAAAUCCAUCGAAGCGGAUCAUGCAACGACUUCUUUGCUGACCCGUUCCUGGUUGUGUGUUCUCGUGUUUGCUUCGCGCAGUGAUCACGCGUGCAGUACGAGUG